AUUGAACGCUGGCGGCAUGCCUUACACAUGCAAGUCGAACGGUAACAGGGUGCUUGCACCGCUGACGAGUGGCGAACGGGUGAGUAAUGCGUCGGAACGUGCCGAGUAGUGGGGGAUAACGCAGCGAAAGUUGUGCUAAUACCGCAUACGUACUGAGGUAGAAAGUGGGGGACCUUCGGGCCUCACGCUAUUCGAGCGGCCGACGUCUGAUUAGCUAGUAGGUGAGGUAAAGGCUCACCUAGGCGACGAUCAGUAGCGGGUCUGAGAGGAUGAGCCGCAACACUGGGACUGAGACACGGCCCAGACUCCUACGGGAGGCAGCAGUGGGGAAUUUUGGACAAGGGGCGAAAGCCUGAUCCAGCCAUGCCGCGUGUCUGAAGAAGGCCUUCGGGUUGUAAAGGACUUUUGUCAGGGAGGAAAUCCCUAGCGUUAAUACCGCUGGGGGAUGACAGUACCCGAAGAAUAAGCACCGGCUAACUACGUGCCAGCCGCCGCCGUAAGAC
rnacentral:rRNA from 1 species